rnacentral:rRNA from 1 species
GACGAACGCUGGCGGCGUGCUUAACACAUGCAAGUCGAGCGGAAAGGCCCUUUCGGGGGUACUCGAGCGGCGAACGGGUGAGUAACACGUGAGUAAUCUGCCUCUGGCUUCGGGAUAGCCACCGGAAACGGUGAUUAAUACCGGAUACGACGCAUCACUGCAUGGUGUGUGCGUGGAAAGUUGUUUCGGCCAGGGAUGUGCUCGCGGCCUAUCAGCUUGUGGGUGGGGUAAUGGCCUACCAAGGCUUCGACGGGUAGCCGGCCUGAGAGGGUGACCGGCCACACGGGGACUGAGACACGGCCCAGACUCCUACGGGAGGCAGCAGUGGGGAAUAUUGGACAACGGGCGGAAGCCUGAUCCAGCAACGCCGCGUGAGGGAUGACGGCCUUCGGGUUGUAAACCUCUUUCAGCACAGACGAAGCGCAAGUGACGGUAUGUGCAGAAGAAGGACCGGCCAACUACGUGCCAGCAGCCGCCGUAAGAC